rnacentral:ncRNA from 2 species
CGCUCAUCCAGAGGGGCAGAGGGAUACGGCCCGUUGAAGCCCCGGCAACCCUCCAGCCGUCUCGUCUCCGCGCACGCCGCGGACCGCGGGGCUCCGGCUAGGGAAGGUGCCAAUUCCGUCUCGUGGCGAGAUGCGCCGCGAGGAAGAUGAGGA